AUUGAACGCUAGCGGCAGGCCUAACACAUGCAAGUCGAGCGAGCGGCGCAGGGGUGAGUAAUAUCUGGGAAACCGUCUCAUGGAGGGGGGUAUCUACUCUAAACGGUAGCUCUUAUCGCGUACCAUCUGAUGUGCCCCGAUGGGAUUAGCUGGUAGGUGGGGUAACGGUUCACCUCGGCGACGAUCCCUAGCUGGUCUGAGAGGAGGACCAGCAACACUGGAACUGAGACACGGUCCAGACUCCUACGGGAGGCAGCAGUGGGGAAGAUUGCACAAUGGGCGCAAGCCUGAUACAGCCAUGCCGCGUGUGUGAAGAAGGCCGUCGGGUUGUAAAGCACUUUCAGCGGGGAGGCGUUACCCGCAGAAGAAGCACCGGCUAACUCCGUGCCAGCAGCCGCGGUAAUUC
rnacentral:rRNA from 1 species